rnacentral:lncRNA from 1 species
GUGCAUGUGUGUGUGGCAGGCGCGGCCGACUAGCGUACUGGCGCGAAUAGACAGGCAGUGCGGUGUUGGAAGCGGAAAAGGAGGUACGCGUGGCAUUCGCGCGUCUGACAACCUGAAUGCCUUCGAAUGUGCAGCUGGCGGACAUGGCGAAGUGACCGAAGUAAACUCUCAGCCACACGCACAGAGUUGUCCACGGUGACGUCAUGAUUACGUCAUCAAUCGGCGAUAUAUCCUCAUGAAUGACGAGAUGGAGUUGGUCGGCCCUGAUUGGACGGCUUCUAAAUGAUCUGCUUGUCAAUAGCAUUUUUUUUCUCCACUUUGAAUGACUUGAAAUAACAGCGUCUUUUAUAUGUAAUUCAUGAUUAUGUGGAAGAAAGCUAGUUGACUUGAUCCUAUCAGGCAUCUUUGUGUAUUAUGCUUUAGAUUUAUCAUUUAACGGACGAAAAAUGUCAAUAAACCACAAUGAACGAACUUGAUGUGAUGAAAUGCAUGGCUCGGACAGGAGGAUCAAAGUAAUGAAUUGCAUGAUUAGACAAGGUAAACAAAAUACACACGGAGAAACAUCUGACAGACGGAAAAGAAACAGAAGAGUGGGCAAAUGCGAAAGCAAAUCAACAAGCAGAAAAAGUGAGAAGCCAUCGAGUUGAAAACAAAUAUAUGAGUGAAUUUAGAGAAACAUGAGUUAGUGAAAUCAGCCUAUUGAACAAAGAGACAAAAUUCCUACCAUGGGAUGGUAUGUUCUCGAAUCGCUAAGGACCCAAACCUUCUCAUCUCCUUUCUGUUGUAUUUGGCAUGGAGAGGAUCAGCAGCUUUUCACGAGAGCGGAGACCGGUGUCGUGUUGUGGACCAAUGGAAGACCAGAGCUGAUGAGAUAGUUAUUUUAUGGAUCUAUUAAUGUCAAACGUGAAUGCUCAUCUGGUUGCAUAAUUCUUAAUUCUUGUCAUUAAUAUUUAUAUAUACUUAUUACUGACGCACAAAUAAACAGCAAUAAAAAUGCUUGUGGCUCACCUGUCAGGCUUCUCUGAGGCUGAAGAAGCGGCGGUGAAAGGCGCCUCGACGACUUUUCUGGUGUUCCUUUAUCUUCUCCUUUCGCUCCUGCUAUUCAACCUCGAGGUCGUCCACGUCCUUCGCUCCUCACUCGCGUCCUUCACCUACUGGAUGAGGGCGUCCUACGCGGAAGCUUAUCCUGCGGCUGAAAAUGGCGCGCUUCCUGUGGCGGGGAUCGCGUUGUCCUCGGCGUCCCUCUCCUCUGCUCCGUCCUCCUCCCUCUUUUCGUCCUUUCCUUCUCCCUCUACUCCGCCCUCCUCCCCCCUAUCGUCCUCUCCUUCUUCCUCCUCUUCCUCUACAUCCAGCGGUACUCCUUUUUCCUCACUCUAUCGCUUCCCUUCCGCCUCUGCCAGUCGCCACACAAUAGCGGCCUCCUCUCUGCCUCCUCCUUUCCCUUCUCUAGGCCCUUCUUCCCCUGAGUAUUGUCGUCCUUCAGAACCGAGAUGACGCGUAUUAGGUACUUCGAGUGAUG